AACGAGAAGGCGGGUAAAAACCCCGCUCGCCGGAAGACCAAGGGUUCCUGUCCAACGUUAAUCGGGGCAGGGUGAGUCGACCCCUAAGGCGAGGCCGAAAGGCGUAGUCGAUGGGAAACAGGUUAAUAUUCCUGUACUUGGUGUUACUGCGAAGGGGGGACGGAGAAGGCUAUGUUGGCCGGGCGACGGUUGUCCCGGUUUAAGCGUGUAGGCUGGUUUUCCAGGCAAAUCCGGAAAAUCAAGGCUGAGGCGUGAUGACGAGGCACUACGGUGCUGAAGCAACAAAUGCCCUGCUUCCAGGAAAAGCCUCUAAGCAUCAGGUAACAUCAAAUCGUACCCCAAACCGACACAGGUGGUCA
rnacentral:rRNA from 1 species